UACAGAGGGUGCGAGCGUUAAUCGGAAUUACUGGGCGUAAAGCGUGCGUAGACGGCUAUCUAAGUCGGGUGUGAAAGCCCCGGGCUCAACCUGGGAAUUGCAUUCGAGACUGAAUAGCUAGGGUACGGUAGAGGGAAGUGGAAUUUCCGGUGUAGCGGUGAAAUGCGUAGAUAUCGGAAGGAACAUCAGUGGCGAAAGCGAACUU
rnacentral:rRNA from 1 species